CGUUUAUCUCAGGGCGGGGCGAAACUCCCCACCGGCGGUAACAUGCAGAAAAGUUAUUUCAAUAUGCAUGAAGCCCGCGAGCGCUUUGUUCCUUAAGUAUUGCUUAAGAUAAUAAAGGUCAGCAGAUCCAGUGUGAAUCUGGAGCCGACGGUUAUAGUCCGGAUGGGAGAGAAUAACG
rfam:Providencia sneebia DSM 19967 chromosome, whole genome shotgun sequence.